UAGGCAGUGAUUAAAACACCAGUGGCCAGUGACCAGUAUGGCCAGUGAGUGAGUGACCCGGUGACCAGUAGGUCCAGUGAUCAGUGGGUCCAGUGACAGUGACCAGUAGGUCCAGUGACGGUGACCAGUAGGUCCAGUGACAGUGACCAGUAUGGUCAGUGACCAGUAGGUCCAGUGACAGUGACCAGUAGGUCCAGUGACAGUGACCAGUAUGGUCAGUGACCAGUAGGUCCAGUGACGGUGACCAGUAGGUCCAGUGACAGUGACCAGUAGGUCAAGUGACCAUUAGGUCCAGUGACCAGUAGGUCCAGUGACCAGUGGGUCCAGUGACGGUGACCAGUAGGUCCAGUGACCAUUAGGUCCAGUGACCAGUAGGUCCAUUGACCAGUGGGUCCAGUGACAGUGACCAGUAGGUCCAGUGACAGUGACCAGUAGGUCCUAGUUAACGGGUUCGGGUUAGAUCUCUAUGUCGG
ensembl:lncRNA